rnacentral:rRNA from 1 species
AGCGAACGCUGGCGGCAGGCUUAACACAUGCAAGUCGAGCGGGCCCUUCGGGGUCAGCGGCGGACGGGUGAGUAACGCGUGGGAACGUGCCUUCUGGUCUGGAAUAACCCUGGGAAACUAGGGCUAAUACCGGAUACGCCCUUUUGGGGAAAGGUUUACUGCCGGAGGAUCGGCCCGCGUCCGAUUAGCUAGUUGGUGGGGUAACGGCCUACCAAGGCGACGAUCAGUAGCUGGUCUGAGAGGAUGAUCAGCCACACUGGGACUGAGACACGGCCCAGACUCCUACGGGAGGCAGCAGUGGGGAAUAUUGGACAAUGGGCGCAAGCCUGAUCCAGCCAUGCCGCGUGAGUGAUGAAGGCCUUAGGGUUGUAAAGCUCUUUUAUCCGGGACGAUAAUGACGGUACCGGAGGAAUAAGCCCCGGCUAACUUCGUG